GAGUUUGAUCCUGGCUCAGGAUGAACGCUAGCGACAGGCCUAACACAUGCAAGUCGAGGGGUAACAGAUGAAGAGCUUGCUCAGAUUGCUGACGACCGGCGCACGGGUGAGUAACACGUAUGCAACCUACCUUUUACAGAGGGAUAGCCCAGAGAAAUUUGGAUUAAUACCUCAUAAUAUUUUUAACUCGCAUGAGUUUUAAAUUAAAACUUCGGUGGUAAAAGAUGGGCAUGCGUUCUAUUAGUUUGUUGGUGAGGUAACGGCUUACCAAGACUACGAUAGAUAGGGGUUCUGAGAGGAUAGUCCCCCACACUGGUACUGAGACACGGACCAGACUCCUACGGGAGGCAGCAGUGAGGAAUAUUGGUCAAUAGUCGAAAGACUGAACCAGCCAUGUCGCGUGAAGGAUGACGGCCCUAUGGGUUGUAAACUUCUUUUGUAUGGGAAGAAAAGCAGUUACGUGUAACUGUCUGCCGGUACCAUACGAAUAAGGAUCGGCUAACUCCGUGCCAGCAGCCGCGGUAAUACGGAGGAUCCAAGCGUUAUCCGGAUUUAUUGGGUUUAAAGGGUGCGUAGGCGGCUCUAUAAGUCAGUAGUGAAAUCUCGAAGCUCAACUUCGAACGUGCUAUUGAAACUGUAGAGCUUGAGCACAGACGAGGCAGGCGGAAUGUGUUGUGUAGCGGUGAAAUGCUUAGAUAUAACACAGAACACCGAUAGCGAAGGCAGCUUGCCAGACUGUAACUGACGCUGAGGCACGAAAGCGUGGGGAGCGAACAGGAUUAGAUACCCUGGUAGUCCACGCCGUAACGAUGAUUACUGGUUGUAGGCGAUACAUUGUCUGUGACUGAGCGAAAGUAUUAAGUAAUCCACCUGGGGAGUACGUCGGCACGAUGAANUCAANGAUNACANGCGA
rnacentral:rRNA from 1 species